rnacentral:misc_RNA from 1 species
UCUGAUUUUUGAUACUCUGCAGUUGGGUGAGGUUUCGAUUCGGGGGGUUCUUCGCUUUUCUUAAAUUUUCAGUGGUUUGUGGGUUGAGGAACUUUAAGUAUUGGCCGCCAUGGAAGGAGCAGUGGGAGCUGAGUUUCAGGAUUGGGAGGUGCUGCUUCAUGAUUCGAACCCCGAAACUGCCCUAACUGCGGCCGGAGAGAAAUCGACCCAUUUUGGUGGAAUUGAAGGUGAGUCUGAUUCCGAUAGCAUAAUUAAAUCCGACUAUUUCUCUCUUGAUAAUCAGGGACGGCGAGGGAGAACUGUAGCUGAGCGUGAUCUUAGGGAGGAGGAGGGUUCGGUUGAAUCCGAUAAUCCUAGUUGGAUUGAUCCGAGCUCGGAGAAUCGGUAUGGUCGGGUAAAUUCGAGCGAAUUAUGGUCUGAUUCUGGCAGUGAUAGGUCGGAUGAGCGUAAAUUCAACGAACUUGAUUCGAAAACUGAGUUCGGAAUCGCAGAAUUUCUUCAAGGUGAUGAGGAAUUGAGUGGUAGGAUUCUGAAAUUAGAGAGUUUAAAGUCCCAUGAGAGCAAAAUCACUGACUCUGAUCCCAAUAUUGAAUUUGCUUUAGACGAAUUUGAUGAAAUUCAAUCCCAAAGCAAGGGUUUGAGCAAUUUCUGGUCUGAUUCUGGUGGUGAGGAUAUUGUUCAAAGUGGCUCAAAAGUAGUGAAGUUGGAAGAAGGGAAAGAGCAUUUGGAGGAAAGCAAGAAUCUCCAAAUUGAAGAAACCAAAGUCAAUGCAGAAUCUGGUAGUGAAGUUGGAGAUAAGAGGAAAGUAGUUUGGUGGAAGGUUCCAUUUGAGGUAUUGAAGUAUUGCUUGUUUAAGGCAAGCCCUGUGUGGUCAUUCUCUGUAGCAGCUGCUUUGAUGGGUUUCAUUAUUCUUGGAAGGAAGCUCUACAAAAUCAAGAGGAAGAGUCAGAGCUUGCACCUGAAGGUUAUCUUGGAUGAGAAGAAGGGAUCUCAAUUCAUGAGUCGAGCGGCUCGUCUUAACGAAGCCUUUUCGGUUGUGAGGCGUGUUCCAAUUGUUCGACCCGCUCUCCCUGCUGCCGGGAUAAACCCAUGGCCUGCAAUGAGCAUGAGUUGAGGAUCCUUUCCACAAGGGAUGCAGAUCAAGUUAAAGCAAUAGUUUCUCUCUUUAUAUAUGUAAAAGAUGUAAUAUUCUACAGGUUUCAAUCUAUGUUCUGUACCAAUACAAGAUACUUCAGCAUCAGUUGUGUG